rnacentral:rRNA from 1 species
AUUGAACGCUGGCGGCAGGCCUAACACAUGCAAGUCGAGCGGAUGAAGGGAGCUUGCUCCUGGAUUCAGCGGCGGACGGGUGAGUAAUGCCUAGGAAUCUGCCUGGUAGUGGGGGAUAACGUCCGGAAACGGGCGCUAAUACCGCAUACGUCCUGAGGGAGAAAGUGGGGGAUCUUCGGACCUCACGCUAUCAGAUGAGCCUAGGUCGGAUUAGCUAGUUGGUGGGGUAAAGGCCUACCAAGGCGACGAUCCGUAACUGGUCUGAGAGGAUGAUCAGUCACAUUGGAACUGAGACACGGUCCAGACUCCUACGGGAGGCAGCAGUGGGGAAUGUUGGACAAUGGGCGAAAGCCUGAUCCAGCCAUGCCGCGUGUGUGAAGAAGGUCUUCGGAUUGUAAAGCACUUUAAGUUGGGAGGAAGGGCAGUAAGUUAAUACCUUGCUGUUUUGACGUUACCAACAGAAUAAGCACCGGCUAACUUCGUG